UUGUCUAUGUUUCUUGGAACAGGACGUCACAGAGGGUGAGAAUCCCGUGCGAUAAGAUGCCCAAUUCCAUGUAAAGUUCCUUCGACGAGUCGAGUUGUUUGGGAAUGCAGCUCUAAGUGGGUGGUAAAUUCCAUCUAAAGCUAAAUAUUGGCGAGAGACCGAUAGCGAACAAGUACUGUGAAGGAAAGAUGAAAAGAACUUUGAAAAGAGAGUGAAAAAGUACGUGAAAUUGUUGAAAGGGAAGGGCUUGAGGUCAGACUUGGUUUACCAGGCCAGCAUCAGUUUGGAUGGCAGGAUAAUAGCUAAGAAAUGUGGCUCCACUUCGGUGGUGUGUUAUAGUCUUGGUUGAUACUGCCUGUCUAGACUGAGGACUGCGUCUUUGACUAGGAUGCUGGCAUAAUGACCUUAAGCCGC
rnacentral:rRNA from 1 species